AAACCUGGGGAAAACCCCUUAAAAUUGGUGAUUACAUUAAAAAUGUAUAUAUUUUGAUUAUAAUCGAUAAUCAAUCACCAAAAGUCCUCCAAUAAUCGAUAAUGGAUUUGGUUUCCGAUUCCCAACACUAGUAACAACUAGUACAAGCU